rnacentral:rRNA from 1 species
GACGAACGCUGGCGGCGUGCCUAAUACAUGCAAGUCGAGCGGGCCUCCGGAGGUGCUUGCACCUCCGGAAGGCCAGCGGCGGACGGGUGAGUAACACGUGGGCAACCUGCCUUUGAGGCCGGGAUGACACCGGGAAACCGGUGCUAAUACCGGAUACGUCCUCUUUCGCGCCUGCGAGAGGGGAGAAAGACGGUCUUUAAGGCCGUCGCUCAAAGAGGGGCCCGCGGCGCAUUAGCUGGUUGGUGGGGUAAGGGCCUACCAAGGCGACGAUGCGUUGCCGACCUGAGAGGGUGAUCGGCCACACUGGGACUGAGACACGGCCCAGACUCCUGCGGGAGGCAGCAGUAGGGAAUCUUCCACAAUGGACGAAAGUCUGAUGGAGCAACGCCGCGUGAACGAUGAAGGCUUUCGGGUCGUAAAGUUCUGUUGUAAGGGAAGAACAAGUGCCGCAGGCAAUGGCGGCACCUUGACGGUACCUUGCGAGAAAGCCACGGCUAACUACGUGCCAGCCGCCGCAGUAAAAC